GCGGGCCUGGGGAAGGGACUCCCGCGGCCCUAAGGUGCUGGCGGGCGUUUGGCGUUGCAGCUGUGUGGGCGCUGGUGCGUGCGAGUAGCGCUCGAAGAAACCCAAAGGCGUCGUGGGGCUGCCGUGUGCCCCAGAGAGCACUGCAGGCCGGGUAGGGGCUAAGGCUCCCCGCAGUCUUCUGUGUGUCGUCCAGUACGCAGUUGAAAUCGUUCUCCAACCUGGCCAGUCCUCCGAGGCCCUUCUCAGGCGACCAGACUCUGUUAACAGAGUCCAUUGCUAAAACUCCUCGUUAGUAUUUACCACUCCUCCAGUCUGUGUUUUGAAGCAGUGGUUUUCAACCACUGCCCGUUUUCAGAAGAAAUCAUCUCAAGCGUCCGUGUGCUGCUAGAAGCCGGGCCGGGAGGUCUUGGUGCCGGACUCCACCCUGCAGCCCUUCCCUUUCGCCACCGCCCUGUGCUUAGAGAAACCUUAGAGUGGAGCAAUGAGUCGCCCUUGACUGAGUAACUCUUCGGGGUCAACUUCUCCUUCCACGCCAAGGAAAGGAUUCCAGGGCGAUGUUUCUGGAAAUAGAGAUCUGACCAAGCCACUGCUCUGAGCAAUGCAAACCUGAAACUACUCCUGCCAAGAAACGAUUGCAGCUCUUCCCGGAAAAGUUAAAGCCUUUGAGAAACAAAGCUGAGGUUGAAAGUAUUAGUCCAUUUUAUAGAUGAAGA
rnacentral:lncRNA from 10 species